AGCCAGAUUUCCUAGCUGCAAAUGGGUGCUAAAAAGUCCCAACAGAAAGAUGGAGGAAAAAAAGGUGACUCCAACUGCAAUGCCAAAGAAUAAAGAGCCACUGCUUUUGUCCACCAAUCCAUCAUCCACUCUGGGGAAAGCCAGCUGCCAUAUUUUGAACAGCCCUAUGGAGACAGCUUACAACAGACAACUUAGUGAGAAAUGGAGGUCUCCAGAUAACAACCUGAGAAAAACUGAGGCUCAGCCAGAAAAUAAUAGAAAGGAAAGACUGCAGAGGGACUUGGUGCCAGAAGGCUUCAGAGACAGCUGUCCCUGCAGCACGUGGAUCCCUCCUUCCCCAGGCGUGACUGCCUUUCCUGGCAGGUACUCCAAGCCACCAACGGAACAAAGAAGAAACAAAGGUGUACAGUGCAAUGACUUGACAAUUCCAUGUAUCACCCAGUGCUCCACAUGGUUGGGUUGCCUGCAACAGAUCCCAAGAUCAGGCUUCACUUGCAAGUGAAGUACUAAAUGCUCCCAGGAGGAACAGGUAAGAGUUUGAGAAUCAAGACAGGGAUGGAGAAGAGGAUAGGGCGUGCUUCCAGCAAAGUGCCAGCCUCAGGCUGAUUCUGGAAGGGAGGUCUUGAGCACAAAUUACACCUCAGAGUUUAUCCUAUUCUGAAACAAGUGAUUAGGUUUUUGUCCUAAUUCAGCUCAAGCUCACCCUAGGUCCUCUGUGCAGAAGCUGUGGGAAAUGAUAAACCAGUCCAAGGGUUUCUGGAACCAUUUCAAUAGGCCCCUUACACUGCAUUUUUGAUGACUCAUAGCUGAACCUAAUCCUCACAAGUACCAAAGCCAUUCUUGGAGAGGGAGAAGUGUAUAGGAAGGUAUAGGAACCUUGAUGUACACAGAACCAAGGGUGUAUAGCAAGGUAUAGGAAAGGAAGAAAUAGAAAACCACAAAGUGGGGAAAACAAAUUGUAGUCAUUUGGACUGUAGGGGAAGCUUCAAGUGCCUGGCCAGUUUAUACAAAAAGAAACCAAGAGGACCUUUGAACAAGAUGAUUCAAAAAUGAAUCUGGUGAUGACCUAUGGGAUAAGGUGGAAUGAGACUCCUAAGGGGCAGUGCCCAUUGUUAGGUCCUAUUUGUAGUCUAGGCAAAAGGUAAUCAUGGCGCAACCCCAGGUGAAAGUUCUGGGAAGGGAAAGGAGCAAAAUGAUUGCAAGACCUCAUAUAGACUGUCUUUCAAAUUGUUGUGAUGUGAGAAGCUGGAGACAGAGGACCCAAGUGUGAGGCUGGGCCUGGGGUCCAGUCUAUCAAACACCACCUUAAGAGAAGGAUGGUGCCAGCAACAGAACUGGGGAAGAGGAAAUGGAAGGAAUUUUAGAGGAAAUAUGAAUUCUACCUAUUGGAUAUAGUGGUUCUGAGAGGAAGGGAAGGCUUGUCAUUGGGGUGCCCAGCAGACAGAAAUUCAAGGCUGAAGAAUCCUGCAUGGGGCUGUGGAUUGGGGCCACAGACGAUACAUAAGUGAACAUCAAAGUUUCCAUUUUUUAUAAUGUUCAUAUGUUGUGAGAUUUUUUUUUUCUUUUCUCAACUAUUUAAAAAUGUAGGGAUGCCUGAGUGGCUCAGUUGGUUAAGCAACUGCCUUCAGCUCAGGUCAUGAUUCUGGGGUCCUGGGAUCAAGUCCCACAUGGGGUUCCCUGCUCAGCGUGGAGCCUGCUUCUCCCUCUGCCUCUGCCCCUCCUCCCCACUCAUGCUCUUUCUCUCUAACAAGUAAGUAAAUAAAAUAUUGAGAAAUAUA
ensembl:lincRNA